rnacentral:rRNA from 1 species
UACGAAGGGGGCUAGCGUUGCUCGGAAUUACUGGGCGUAAAGGGAGCGUAGGCGGACUGUUAAGUUAGAGGUGAAAGCCCAGGGCUCAACCUUGGAAUUGCCUUUGAUACUGGCAGUCUUGAGUACGGAAGAGGUAUGUGGAACUCCGAGUGUAGAGGUGAAAUUCGUAGAUAUUCGGAAGAACACCAGUGGCGAAGGCGACAUACUGGUCCGUUACUGACGCUGAGGCUCGAAAGCGUGGGGAACGAAACAGG